UUUAAUAAUGCUUUAUUCAUGACCAUGGAUACAAGUCCUUCAGUCGAAUACAUUUUUAUAAUGAAUUUAAUACAAAACAUAAGAAAUAAACUAUUAUAUAAGCUUAGACAGUACAAUUUUAGUAAUAAUUCAUUAAUAUUAAAUUUUUUCCACAGUAUGUACAAUGUAGUUAUAUAUUGGAAUAAAAUAUGCAAAGUGAGAUAGCAAAUCUUGAACGCGGCGGGGAAUACUUUGUGAGUGUUCCUUUGCGAUGUCACUAAUGUCACUGACAAGAAUCAACCGUUGUAUGUUGAAAACUUGGCAUUCAAAUAUAAUAUGGUUUAUGUCAGCAUUUAUCUUGAAACAGUGGUUGCAUCUGUUGUCAUUUGUGAUUUUAAUUCUGUUGAGAUGGGAUGGAACUAAACAAUGGCCGAAACGUAGACGAUUGAUGAUAGUGAUAAAUUUUCUAUUGUAAUAUUUGAAUUUGCUGUACCAAGGUGUCACUGGUAAUGAUCCUGAAAUAAUAACAGAUGCUGAUAUGGGGGAACCUACAACUAACUGAGAAAGCUGUGCAGGAUAUAAAAUAUUUUUAAGCACAAUACUAUUACUGGAAGAUAAUUCCUUUAUACAAAAUCUUUCUGCCAGUUGCAAACGUCUUAGAGACAAUGGAGGUCGGACCUCAUACACUGAUGGCCUCACAUUUACACUUACCUGAGUUGGAUAGUGAUAGCUGCCCAUCGGGUCAUCAUGGACUUUCCACUCACAGAGAGGAGCUAUUCGGGGACUAACUAAUGUUAUAUCUAUUGCUGAUGCCUGCCUGUUUGGUGAUUGAAUGGUGGUUGGACUACCAUCAUUUAACACACAUAAGUCAAGUUCAUCUAUGAGAUUGUAUAUGUUAUUACCUCUACUAUUGUUUGUAUGACAACCAAACAAAAUAUGAUGUGCAUUAAAAUCACCCAUAAUGAGACAUGGCUUAGGAGCACUAAGUAGAACUUUUUUCAGUUUGUUGGUAUCAAAUCUUCCAUUAGGAGGACAAUACACACAUAGUAUGUUUAAU